rnacentral:misc_RNA from 1 species
AAGUCGUAACAAGGUUUCCGUAGGUGAACCUGCGGAAGGAUCAUUACCACAUUUUGUGUUUUAAACACAAAAAUCUAUAAAACUAUACCAAUCAUGUGUGAAGCAAAAGAAAUUGAUCUUGGUGGCUUUUUUGAUUCGCGCUUUCGAUAGAAAGUGAAUUGAGAGAGCCGCCCAAUUUUUGUAACAAACACUCUUAUAAACGAACACUAAACGAAAACUUUUUUCAGUCUUUUUCUUAAGUGUAAAAAGGCGACAAAAACCAAAUGAGAUAAAACUUUUAACGGUGGAUCUCUUGGCUCGU